GACGAACGCUGGCGGCGUGCUUAACACAUGCAAGUCGAACGGAAAGGCCCUGCUUUUGUGGGGUGCUCGAGUGGCGAACGGGUGAGUAACACGUGAGUAACCUGCCCUUGACUUUGGGAUAACUUCAGGAAACUGGGGCUAAUACCGGAUAGGAGCUCCUGCUGCAUGGUGGGGGUUGGAAAGUUUCGGCGGUUGGGGAUGGACUCGCGGCUUAUCAGCUUGUUGGUGGGGUAGUGGCUUACCAAGGCUUUGACGGGUAGCCGGCCUGAGAGGGUGACCGGCCACAUUGGGAAUGAGAUACGGCCCAGACUCCUACGGGAGGCAGCAGUGGGGAAUAUUGAACAAUGGGCGGAAGCCUGAUGCAGCAACGCCGCGUGCGGGAUGAAGGCCUUCGGGUUGUAAACCGCUUUCGCCUGUGACGAAGCGUGAGUGACGGUAAUGGGUAAAGAAGCACCGGCUAACUACGUG
rnacentral:rRNA from 1 species